rnacentral:lncRNA from 1 species
CAAUAAUGAUAAAUCAUUUUGAGAUAUGGCGCGACAUGUUAAAAAAAACACACUCCUGUUUUACUUACAAAGUUCUGUAACUCAAAAAGAUUUAAUUUGAUUUUCACUAAAAGGUUUACAAAUCGUUUGACCAUUUCAAGAAAUAACUUUGUUAAGUUUCAUGAAAACUAGAUAAGCUGUUCUCAAGUUACGGUGCGACAUGUUUACGCUGGACAGAAAGAUAGACGGAUAGCUAGACGGACGGACGGACGGACGGACGGACCGAAUGACUGAUAGAUGGAGGAACGGACGGAUGGAAGGACGGACGGACAGACGGGUGUAUACAAUAAUACGUCCUGUCAAAAUUGGAACGGGCGUGUAAAAACGCAAAGAAAUGAAAAAAAAAUCGUAAUU